rnacentral:rRNA from 1 species
AUUGAACGCUGGCGGCAGGCCUAACACAUGCAAGUCGAGCGGAGCGGCGGACGGGUGAGUAAUGCCUAGGAAUCUGCCUGGUAGUGGGGGAUAACGUCCGGUAACGGGCGCUAAUACCGCAUACUAUCAGAUGAGCCUAGGUCGGAUUAGCUAGUGGGGGGGGUAAAGGCCUACCAAGGCGACGAUCCGUAACUGGUCUGAGAGGAUGAUCAGUCACACUGGAACUAAAGCACGGUCCAGACUCCUACGGGAGGCAACAGUGGGGAAUAUUGGAGAAUGGGCGAAAGACUGGUCCAGCCAUGCCGCGUGUGUGAAGAAGGUCUUCGGAUUGUAAAGCACUUUAAGUGGAGAGGCGUUACCAACAGAAUAAGCACCGGCUAACUUCGUGCCAGCAGCCGCGGUAAUAC